UACGAAGGGGGCUAGCGUUGCUCGGAAUCACUGGGCGUAAAGGGUGCGUAGGCGGGUCUUUAAGUCAGGGGUGAAAUCCUGGAGCUCAACGCCAGAACUGCCUUUGAUACUGAGGAUCUUGAGUUCGGGAGAGGUGAGUGGAACUGCGAGUGUAGAGGUGAAAUUCGUAGAUAUUCGCAAGAACACCAGUGGCGAAGGCGGCUCACUGGCCCGAUACUGACGCUGAGGCACGAAAGCGUGGGGAGCAAACAGG
rnacentral:rRNA from 1 species